GUGGGGAAUUUUGCGCAAUGGGCGAAAGCCUGACGCAGCAACGCCGCGUGAGUGAAGAAGGCCUUUGGGUCGUAAAGCUCUUUUCCGGGGGAAGAGACCAGACGGUACCCCGGGAAUAAGCACCGGCUAACUCCGUGCCAGCAGCCGCGGUAAUACGGAGGGUGCGAGCGUUGUUCGGAUUUACUGGGCGUAAAGGGCGUGUAGGCGGGUGCGCAAGCCGGAGGUGAAAGCCCCAGGCUUAACCUGGGAAGCUCUUCCGGAACUGCGCGCCUAGAGAUGGCCAGAGGCAGGUGGAAUUCCUGGUGUAGAGGUGAAAUUCGUAGAGAUCAGGAGGAACACCGGUGGCGAAGGCGGCCUGCUGGGGCCUAUCUGACGCUGAGGCGCGACAGCGUGGGGAGCAAACAGG
rnacentral:rRNA from 1 species